AGAGUUUGAUCCUGGCUCAGAUUGAAGCGCUGGCGGCAUGCCUUACACAUGCAAGUCGAACGGUAACAGGUCUUUGGAUGCUGACGAGUGGCGAACGAGUGAGUAAUACAUCGGAACGUGCCCGAUCGUGGGGGAUAACGCAGCGAAAGCUGUGCUAAUACCGCAUACGAUCUACGGAUGAAAGCGGGGGAUCGCAAGACCUCGCGCGGACGGAGCGGCCGAUGGCAGAUUAGGUAGUUGGUGGGAUAAAAGCUUACCAAGCCGACGAUCUGUAGCUGGUCUGAGAGGACGACCAGCCACACUGGGACUGAGACACGGCCCAGACUCCUACGGGAGGCAGCAGUGGGGAAUUUUGGACAAUGGGCGAAAGCCUGAUCCAGCCAUGCCGCGUGCAGGAUGAAGGCCUUCGGGUUGUAAACUGCUUUUGUACGGAACGAAAAGACUCUCUCUAAUAAAGGGGGUCCAUGACGGUACCGUAAGAAUAAGCACCGGCUAACUACGUGCCAGCAGCCGCGGUAAUACGUAGGGUGCAAGCGUUAAUCGGAAUUAC
rnacentral:rRNA from 1 species